UGUUAUGAAAGAGUACAAAAAAAGAUAACUAAUACUUCAAUACAGGAGAGAUUGCAACCUGUGUUGUCGUGUCAACCUGAGUUGAUGGAGAGCCAUCUAGAAUAUUUGCUUGUAAAAUAAUUAAUGUCUAAAGUUUUACUAGCUUUGGUGAGAUUAACAAGCCCAACAAUCUUUAAUGGGUCAUGGCCUUGAUCAUAAAUAACUUCUUAAAUGAAAAUCUGAUAUCCAGUUUACAAUUGGUGAUGCUUCAAACUAACAGGGAAGGCAAGGAGUUGCAUGAUUUAACAAGCAAAAAGUUUUGUACUUGAGAUGAAAGUGAAGGCAAUGAAUGGAUAAAAUAUGCUUGCUCUGGUGCCAAUUAGAUAAAAACCAAUUCUUGUAGCUUCUUCUAGCCUUUCGAUGGGCAAGGUAGGCAAGUCACGUGGUUAAAACUGGCAUGUAUGGAAUCAGAAACCAAUCUCGUGAUUGUUGUCCAUAAUAGUUACUUGGUCAGGUGGGAUAUGAUGCCAGUCACCGGCACUUCAAGUCUUCAAUCAUGGGUUCAAGUAGAAACCGUUAUAGCUGUUGGGGUGGAGAUCUCUUAGUGGCCUCCGGCCGGUCCCAAGCCCGGAUAAAGGAGGAGGGUUGUAGCGAGUCAAAGAAAUUCUUAUAUUAUUUCAUUAAAUUAGAGGGUAUUAGGAAAUAAUUAGCGAUUUAAUGGAAUUUGAUAAUCCAUUGAUUAAUUCAACUAUUGAAUUGGGAGAAAGGUUGUAAAUUGUAAUGGGUAGCAAAGGUUAAAUUUGGCAGAUGCUACCAUUUGACAUUUGUCGAACAACUCCAAUUGUCCUAACAAUGAGGAGAAUGAUGUUGCCAUCUUUAUUUUUCGGUGUUUGCCAUGCAAGUCGUCUUAUCAUUUUUCGUUUAUUUUUAAAAUUUGUAGUCAA